rnacentral:rRNA from 1 species
CCGGCGCACGGUGAGUAACACGUAUCCAACCUGCCGUCUACUCUUGGCCAGCCUUCUGAAGGAAGAUUAAUCCAGGAUGGCAUCAUGAGUUCACAUGUCCGCACGAUUAAAGGUAUUUUCCGGUAGACGAUGGGGAUGCGUUCCAUUAGAUAGUAGGCGGGGUAACGGCCCACCUAGUCAACGAUGGAUAGGGGUUCUGAGAGGAAGGUCCCCCACAUUGGAACUGAGACACGGUCCAA